UAGGGAAUCUUCCGCAAUGGGCGAAAGCCUGACGGAGCAACGCCGCGUGAGUGAUGAAGGUCUUCGGAUCGUAAAACUCUGUUAUUAGGGAAGAACAAAUGUGUAAGUAACUAUGCACGUCUUGACGGUACCUAAUCAGAAAGCCACGGCUAACUACGUGCCAGCAGCCGCGGUAAUACGUAGGUGGCAAGCGUUAUCCGGAAUUAUUGGGCGUAAAGCGCGCGUAGGCGGUUUUUUAAGUCUGAUGUGAAAGCCCACGGCUCAACCGUGGAGGGUAAUUGGAAACUGGAAAACUUGAGUGCAGAAGAGGAAAGUGGAAUUCCAUGUGUAGCGGUGAAAUGCGCGGAGAUAUGGAAGAACACCAGUGGCGAAGGCGACUUUCUGGUCUGUAACUGACGCUGAUGAGCGAAAGCGUGGGGAUCAAACAGG
rnacentral:rRNA from 1 species